AGUGAACGCUGUCGGUAGGCCUAACACAUGCAAGUCGAACGGCAGCACAGUAAGAGCUUGCUCUUACGGGUGGCGAGUGGCGGACGGGUGAGGAAUACAUCGGAAUCUACUUUUUCGUGGGGGAUAACGUAGGGAAACUUACGCUAAUACCGCAUACGACCUACGGGUGAAAGCAGGGGAUCUUCGGACCUUGCGCGAUUGAAUGAGCCGAUGUCGGAUUAGCUAGUUGGCGGGGUAAAGGCCCACCAAGGCGACGAUCCGUAGCUGGUCUGAGAGGAUGAUCAGCCACACUGGAACUGAGACACGGUCCAGACUCCUACGGGAGGCAGCAGUGGGGAAUAUUGGACAAUGGGCGCAAGCCUGAUCCAGCCAUACCGCGUGGGUGAAGAAGGCCUUCGGGUUGUAAAGCCCUUUUGUUGGGAAAGAAAAGCAGCAGGUUAAUACCCCGCUGUUCUGACGGUACCCAAAGAAUAAGCACCGGCUAACUUCGUG
rnacentral:rRNA from 1 species